UUUUCCUACGGGACGCAGCAGUGAGGAAUAUUGGUCAAUGGCCGGAAGGCUGAACCAGCCAAGCCGCGUGAAGGACGAAGGUGCCAAGCAUUGUAAACUUCUUUUGUCAAGGGACAAAAUCAGGCUCGAGAGCCUGACCGAGGGUACUUGAAGAAAAAGCAUCGGCUAACUCCGUGCCAGCAGCCGCGGUAAUACGGAGGAUGCGAGCGUUAUCCGGAUUUAUUGGGUUUAAAGGGUGCGUAGGCGGACAGUCAAGUCAGCGGUAAAAAUGCGGUGCUCAACGCCGUACAGCCGUUGAAACUGGC
rnacentral:rRNA from 1 species